UAAUAGUAAUAUACUAUUGUCUGGGAAAUACAUACUUAUGUAUCUCAAAUGCUUUUUAAAGAACUCUUAAUGAUUUUUUUGGGGGGUGUGUGUGUAUGUCUGUCUGUGUUCCCCUCUAAUGUGUAGGAAACCAGCCGAGUUGUUCACAUUAUGGAUUUUCAGCGAGGAAAAAACUUGAGAUACCAGCUAUUACAACUGGUAGAACCAUUUGGAGUCAUUUCAAAUCAUCUGAUUCUAAAUAAAAUUAAUGAGGCAUUUAUUGAAAUGGCGACCACAGAAGAUGCUCAGGCUGCUGUGGAUUAUUAUACAACUACACCAGCAUUAGUGUUUGGCAAGCCAGUGAGAGUUCAUUUAUC
rnacentral:lncRNA from 1 species